CAGGACUGUUAGCCUUGGUCUGAAACAGUGUCGUGCCCCCCUUCACACACACACCAUGCUGGAUCCAAACAACCAACGGCAUGUGCUGUGUGUCAGGGAGAGGCCUUCCUGAGCUGAGAAUGUCCAUGUGGGGUGCUGUUAGGAGAUGGGACUAAGCAGACCUCUGUAAGGAUCCCUCCAUUACAGACACUGAACCUGCUGUUUACUGCUGGCCUAAGGACUGGCCUGCCAUAUGAGGCACUUUGGUAGGCCCAGUCUUAAUCCAUUGGCUAGUUCUUUGCAAGGCCACAGUAAUUAGAGGGUGUAGUGAGAGCAACAGCUGAAGAGCUCAGACUGAGAGAGCCAGGCUGUGUUGUCUUGCUUCCCUUGUGUUCUACCCGCUGAGUGCCCUGUGCCCUGCUGUAGUAGGACAAGCAAAGCAAAAGGAACCCUCCCAAGAGACUUUGAUAUGGAAGGCUGAGGCGAUUUGGCCCUCUUAGAGGGAAAGCCCUGGGCACAGGAGACCGGAGAAGGGUGUGGCUUUUUUCUCUCCUCUCCUCUUCCGGCCCAGUCUCAGGCCUACCAGAAGCAGAAAAAGCAGCUGAACUGGAGGAGCUGCAGCCAGAAAAGAAGCUGCCCAACUCUCUGCACCCAUUCCUCUGUGUGGGAGGCAUGGGGGAAGUGGGAGGAAAGACAGACACUAAGCAGCUUUCCCAAUCGCCAUGCUCUGAACUGGCUGCCCUUGGUGACAAAAUGUUGAGGGACUUGGGAGAUCAUGUGGAGAGAUUCCUUACCACCACCCCCCACCACCACCCCAGGGUGUGUGGCCAAGUGUUUCCUUUGCUGUCAGAGCCAAGCUCGCCCCGGGAACCAUCGUCUGGAAGGCAGAAGCACAAACAUCCCAACAUGAGAGAGAGCGAACACAGGUCACUGGAACAGAGGAGAGGAAAGGUAGAGAGGGGGACACACAUGAGGGACGGGCUUCUGCCCAAGGCUGGAGGCUGUGGUAUUAAAGGAAAAAAACCAAACCAAAACCACACAACCCAAUUCCCCAGAUACCAGUAGGACUGGUCAGGUAUUUGAUGGGAAGGACAAAAAAAAAAAAAAAAAAAAAAAAAAAAAAAAAAAAAAACGUAGUAACACAAAGGGAGUGUAGGAAGGGGCAAGGUUGCUUGCUUAUUUAUAUAGGGCUGGGUUUCUAUAGAUGAUGGGUGUUCUCUGUGGCAGCUACCCGCCAGAGCUGUGCUUUUUCUAUGCGGACUUGGAGUGUGUGUAUUUGGAGUUGCGUGGGUGGGCAGAGCAGAGCUGCCACUGCCUGGUGGCAUAUGAGGUGCUAGGACAGCCAACAGGCGCAGGGGGGUGGGGGAGUAACAGCGACCGGCUGCCUUCUGAAAAGCCUGGCCUGGUUUUUUCCCACCAGCACAGAAGCCCUGGGAGGUGCCAGGCCCAGCACUGCUGCUGUGUGCCGGCCCCAAUCGGAG
rnacentral:lncRNA from 1 species